rnacentral:rRNA from 1 species
UGGGGAAUUUUGGACAAUGGGCGAAAGCCUGAUCCAGCAAUGCCGCGUGUGUGAAGAAGGCCUUCGGGUUGUAAAGCACUUUUGUCCGGAAAGAAAUCCUUGGCUCUAAUACAGUCGGGGGAUGACGGUACCGGAAGAAUAAGCACCGGCUAACUACGUGCCAGCAGCCGCGGUAAUACGUAGGGUGCAAGCGUUAAUCGGAAUUACUGGGCGUAAAGCGUGCGCAGGCGGUUUGCUAAGACCGAUGUGAAAUCCCCGGGCUCAACCUGGGAACUGCAUUGGUGACUGGCAGGCUAGAGUAUGGCAGAGGGGGGUAGAAUUCCACGUGUAGCAGUGAAAUGCGUAGAGAUGUGGAGGAAUACCGAUGGCGAAGGCAGCCCCCUGGGCCAAUACUGACGCUCAUGCACGAAAGCGUGGGGAGCAAACAGGAUUAGAUACCCUGGUAGUCCACGCCCUAAACGAUGUCAACUGUUGUUGGGGAUUCAUUCCUUAGUAACGUAGCUAACGCGUGAAGUUGACCGCCU